UACGUAGGGGGCAAGCGUUGUCCGGAAUCAUUGGGCGUAAAGCGCGCGUAGGCGGCUAGAUCAGUCUGCUGUAAAAGUCAAAGGCUCAACCUUUGAAAGCCGGUGGAUACUGUCUAGCUAGAGUCCGGAAGAGGCGAGUGGAAUUCCUGGUGUAGCGGUGGAAUGCGCAGAUAUCAGGAGGAACACCAACGGCGAAGGCAGCUCGCUGGGACGGUACUGACGCUAAGGCGCGAAAGCCAGGGGAGCAAACGGG
rnacentral:rRNA from 1 species